AGAGAUGGAUUCACAGAUGAAGCAACCUGCACAACAUUUGGUCUUCAUGUUUCACUGUAAGCUUUACAACGGUAAAGUCCGUGUUCACAAAGAGAGUCCUGCUCAGUCAUGAAGUGGUCCAAACCAGCUGAGGCUCUGCCAGAGUUAAAGGACUCCACAUUUCCAUCGUUCGGUCCCAGGAGCGGACUGUGUUGUCCAGCCCUCCAGUCCACAGUUUGGUCCCGUCGUGAGAGAUGUCGAUGCAGCUGGCACCGUCUGUGUGACCCUGGAACUGCCUGCAGCACCCCAAGAGACAAAAAAAAUCAAGUCAGAGGAUUAACAGCUCUGAAACUUUAGGUUGUACAGACGUAAAUGAAGAAGAUGAAGUCUUUAAAUGUGCUUAUGUUGAAAAAUCUGAUCCUCUGAGUCACGGCACUGACCUGACGAGGGUCUGGUUAUGGAGGUCCCACACAGCGAUGUUUCCGUCCGAGCAGCAGGAGAAGCAGACCUUGGCAUCUGGACUGAUGGCCAGUGCAUAGCAGGCUGGAGCAGAAGAAGUGAGCUCCGCCUUAAUGCGGGGCGUCUGUGAGGCUAGGUCCCAGAUGGUCAGCGUGCUGGCCUCGCCACCCACUAUGAGGGUUCGGCCAUCAGGCAACAGUUUGCAGGAGCGGAUGUAAUUGUCUCUGUUCUGUAACAGAAACAAGCAUCGUCAAGGUCUGUGUUAAUGGGCGUCAACUAUCUGUGAACUCUUCAAAUAUCUGUGGAGGUCAGUCAGGACUAACUCAGUUAUGAUUCUGUUGAGAACAUCGAGACCAUCUCUGCUAAACUCAAGCAGAGUUCUCUUUGACAAGUGAAGUUUUAAGACUGCUGCUGACUCCUCUGUGUUUUAGUGAAGAUGUGGGUGUCAGCUAUAACAAGCGAUUCAGAGCGUGUGUGGGACUGCAGCUGUUGGCCGAGCUCCAGGAGAGCAGAAAGAAAAAGAUCAAUAGGACUGCUGAAGCUCUCGGUCAAAUUAAAACAGCACCCUGAUGGCUUUAUAAGACCCAACUGCACUCUGGACGCACCUUAAGGGUGCUGAAGGCUUUAUGAGUUGAACGGCAUGGAGCCGCAGUAUCAAAAUGAGAAAUGGGAGGCAGUUGGGAGGAAGUAAUGAGCUGGGUAAUGGCAGACAGGGUCGGCCAAUCAGAACAUCAUUACUCAGCAGGCUUUUUUUUCUCACCAAGGAUUAUUUCAGCACAGCAGAGACACUUUGCUGAAUUAUUCACAUCCCUGUCAGAUGGGAUCUGGGGAAAAGCCACGAUGGGAUGUGGAUUCAGGCUACAUUUGAUGCUCAAGAUAAUCUUAAUGAAGGAGGAAGUUUGCACAGACCUCAUGAAAUAAGAACAUUAUGCUUCUGCUCUGGUUAGACUGCUUGUUACCACUUUGAAACAUCCACUAACACAAAACUCUUGUACAAACAUUUCACAAUUCUCCUCUAAGCCGUGACUGCUCUAAAAACAAGACAGCGAUUAGUUACCAAGCAGUCGAGUUGGGACACAGGACUCUUGCUGCCUGGCUGGCUGAUGUCCCAAAUCUUGACGCAGCCCUUGCCGCCGGUGUAGACAUGGCGUGUGGGGUUGCUGAUGGUGACAGCGCACACCACUUCCCCGUGGCUCAGUGUGUUGAUCUGGCGAGCGUGGCGCGGGAUGCCCGGACCGAUCAGUGCAUCUGGAGGGAAGGGCACAGGCUGCAUCUGACCAUCCGCACUCACGUGAAAAGAAUACGCUCUACAGGGGAUAGAGGAAGAGAAGAGGUGGUCAGUCUGAGUCAGGUAAAGGCCACCUGGUCACAAGAACAGCAGAUACUAAAGAUACUCACGGUUUCCCUCCAGAAAUAGACGUGAGGCUGGCUGGCAGGCCUGGAGCUCUCAUGUGGGGAUGAGGGUCGAAUCCCGCCUGCAGAAGCGAGAGGAGCAAAGAGUUAAAAACAACAACUCAUAAUCUUCAAAGAUACAUUAGACUAAGCUAAUAUUCAAAUUGAAAACUAUGCUUUGCUUUUUCUGCUAACGCCCUGAGGAACUAGAAUCAUUUGCAGGCAAAUCCCAUGAAAGACAUAGAUUCAGCUUCACUGCAUACAGAGAAGCUACAACAUCCUGUCAGCUAAUGCUAAUGAAAGCCUGGGAGACUUUCAAACAUGGAGCUGCAUUUUGGGGGGGAGCCUUUUUUAAAGCCUUUAGAAUGCUAACUAACUAACAUCAAAGUAAAGGAGCACUGCUGUCUUUGUACUCUCUCAUUAUGUACACACAACAAGCAGCAGCCAGCUGAGCAGAAAUAUUCACAAUGAGGUAUGGAAAUACACCAUGAAUGCUCAAGUUUCUCAAAGUCAUUUUGCAGACAAGACUCUACAACAGCACAGUGAGGAAUUCACACUGCUGGUGGUGAGGGCUCCUCAUGUCAGACUAACAGAGGUGGAAUAUAUGAAUACAUAUUUAAAGCUGCAGCUACAUCUACUCAGUCAUGAGCAAUAAGGUCAUAUCUGAUUUGUAAUGAUAAAAAGAGACUGGACUGCUUACGAUGGGAGAGCGUCCAUAAGCGGCAGCCGCUGCAGCACUCAUCUGAGGUGAAAUGAGACCUGGAUAGACGCCGGGGCUGGUCAGGGAUCCAUUCAUGUCAUGAUGACCCAUCAUAGCAAACGGGGUGGCGUAGGAACCCGCAAUGGACAGAGGUGUACGCAGGGCAGGAGCGGCUAGAGAGGAGAAGAAACAUUUUAAUAAUCUAGAAAAAAACAUUGCAAAGAGAGAUACACUCAGACAUUUAGAAACACGAAACCAUGAUUCAUAUUUCUGUUGACUGGGUGACUUUCUGCAGAGGAAGACCAUGUGACGAGAUUGAAAACUCAAAGCCAGCGACCUCUCGACCUUAUGGGGAUUCUUUUCUCAAGAAUUAACUUGUUAUCAGGAGAUUCAUAUAUCUCCAUAUCUCAAAAAAUGCUGCUCAAAAUUCACUUAACUCAACUGUAAUGUCUUUAAGAAGCUCAUUUAGUCCUCACAGCACUCUAAAACCAGUUAGAGGUGGGCUCAUUGGAUUCUUGGUAAUCUAUCCAUUAAACCUGUUCCUGUUUGUUCAGACAUUUACUUCCUAGAUCUUAUUUCAGCUUCAGUAAAAUUCAUCAGAUUCUCAAAACAGCAACAUAGUAUGUAUAUUGCCAAUCAGUGAAUUACUACAGUUGUUAAAAAGUAUGACAGUAAGGGUGUUUAGGUACCUAACGCCUCCAUGCCUGGUGGUUUGCCCAUGGUGAGAGGCCUCAGUCCUGGCGUGCUGCUGGUUCCUGGUGUCGGGGCCUCAUUUCUUGGUGUUGGCGUGUUGGACUUCAGGCUUGGUGUGGACGACUUGUCGUUCUAAAAACAGAUACACCCUUUAAUCUCUGGGUGUGACCUUGUUCUAUGACCUCUAACUCAAAGUGUAAGCUCACUCUCACUUUCAACCACACUCUAAAAUGAAACAUCACCCACAGUGAAGAAAAAUAACCCAGUGAGUCAAAAAAUACCCCCACUGCCAGGGAAAUCCAGAGUGACAAUCUGAGUGGACGGCUCAAGGUAAUCCAAUCUAACACUGACACUUCAUUACAGCCCUGGUGUGAGUGAGUGUGUUUGAGUGUGAGUGUGAGUGUGAGUGUGAGUGUGUGUGUGUGUGUGUGUGUGUGUGUGUGUGUGUGUGUGUGUGUGUGUGUGUGUGUAUGUGUAUGUGUAUGUGUGUGUGUGUGUGUUGGGGGUUGGGACAUAAACCUUAGCUUAGAAGUCAAGCUUGUUAAGAGUGGCUAGACAAGCAAGAUGGCGGACCAAACACUUCUCUCAUAAUUAAUCCAUCUU